AUACAGAGGGUGCGAGCGUUAAUCGGAAUUACUGGGCGUAAAGCGCGCGUAGGCGGUCUAUUAAGUCAGAUGUGAAAUCCCAGGGCUCAACCUUGGAACUGCAUCUGAUACUGGUAGACUAGAGUUUUGGAGAGGGAAGUAGAAUUUCAGGUGUAGCGGUGAAAUGCAUAGAGAUCUGAAGGAAUACCAGUGGCGAAGGCGACUUCCUGGCCAAAAACUGACGCUGAGGUGCGAAAGCGUGGGUAGCAAACAGGAUUAGAUACCCUAGUAGUCC
rnacentral:rRNA from 1 species